rnacentral:rRNA from 1 species
UACGUAGGGCGCGAGCGUUGUCCGGAAUUAUUGGGCGUAAAGAGCUCGUAGGCGGCCUGUUGCGUCCGCUGUGAAAGCCCGGGGCUUAACCCCGGGUCUGCAGUGGAUACGGGCAGGCUAGAGGUAGGUAGGGGAGAAUGGAAUUCCCGGUGUAGCGGUGAAAUGCGCAGAUAUCAGGAGGAACACCGAUGGCGAAGGCAGGUCUCUGGGCCACUACUGACGCUGAGAAGCGAAAGCAUGGGGAGCGAACAGG